rnacentral:ncRNA from 2 species
GCUUACCUUCGGGGCAGGGUGAAAAUCCCAACCGGCGGUGAUCGAGCGGCGUCUGCACAACAGGAGUCACCUGCGUGCGGCGCUUUCUCGUCAGUCCGUGACCCGGGCCAUCCCAUGCAAGAGCGAUUCAUCGCAUUGCGCGGGAAGGAACGGUGGACCUGGUGCAAAUCCGGGACCGACAGUAUAGUCUGGAUGGGAGAAGGGGACA